GUCCUGGACCAUUUGGGUGGGAGGGCUGCCCGGGCGCAGGCUCAGGGCAGGGUCCACGAGAGCCUGGGGGCGGCCAGGGCUUGGGCAGCCGUGGAGACUUGUCUGUGCAAAUGCCCUGCCGAGGGGCGAGCGGGAAGGCGUCCUGGGCAGGGCUGGAGGGUGGAAGCUGGGGAAAUGAGCUAAAGGUGUGGUGGAGACGGAGGCACGAGUGGGAGCAGGAGAGGGCACGGGGCUGCACGGGGCCAGGAGGCCCAGGGCAGAGCAGGACAGAGCGCGAGCGGACGGCCUACGUUCCCCACACUGGUGCCGGCACAGCCUCCCAGGCAGGUCUCAGACCCUGUGUGCAGCUCUCCGUCUUCUUCAGUGAUGUCCAGUCUGGGCAGCUCCUCCUUCUCAAGCCUUCCCAGCAAGUGCACACGCAUUCUCACCACCCCCGUGACACAGAGGAGGGGAGAACGCCGUCGCCCUCUACCAGAUGGAGAGAGCCCUGCUCGAGGUGGUGAACGGCUCAGACCGAGGCGGGUGCAUCCAGCCCAGAGGCCCCCCACUGGUGAGGACCGGGGAGCGUCAGGCCGCCCCCACGGUGCCCACACUUGCACCGAAGCGUCUUUGCUGAGUCGGAAGGCACCUCAGGCCUCCCCAGCCCUGGAGCUGCCCUCCAGAGCCCGUCCCCAGGGAGCAGGGACGUGGGGGGAUCCGCCUUCCUGGGACGGCCCCAAGCCCAGCCGCUGCCGCGUGUUGGGAAGUUCCAGAAGCAUCCGUCCUGCUUGGAUCCUCCAGGAUUCAUUCUCCCUUGUGGCGUCUGACUCCCCCUCAUGUGGCCCAUCUCCUCUUCUAGCCUCGAAGCCCCUGUCAGGGACGUCCCCAGGCUCACUCCCUUGGGUAUUAACCCUGUGUCUUUGCCGUGUUUGGCGACUGCUGGGCUCAGCUGUGUGUGUCCCGGAGGGCACAGCACGUCUGCCUCACACUCACAACCGCCUGAGUCUGACCCGCAGCCUGGACCCCAGCGGGCCUGCGAGGCUGGGGGCCACCCCGCCCCAGAGCCCACACCAGAGGCGGGUCAGGCCUGGGGCAGGCAGCUCUUCCAGAGUCCCUCCCGCCACGGCCAUCCCUUGACCUCUGGUUGGGCAGCGUGCUUGCCCUGGACGUCACGUCAUCCAAGGUGAGCGCACCUGGAGGGGUGGGUGUGGGGCAGGGAACCAUACUGCCCAUCACAGGCCACAAGUGCUGGCCGAGCCGGGAGGCGAGAGGGCAACUGAGGUAAAACCCACCAGGACCCCCAGCCCACAGGGAGCGCUCCCACCGGCCUCCCGCCUGCUCCUGGCUGUGGUGGGCACAGGCCACCUGCUACCAAGCUCAGGGGCAUGGUCAC
rnacentral:lncRNA from 1 species